GGGGCUAUACAUGCAGUCGAGCGAUGGAUUAAGAGCUUGCUCUUAUGAAGUUAGCGGCGGACGGGUGAGUAACACGUGGGUAACCUGCCCAUAAGACUGGGAUAACUCCGGGAAACCGGGGCUAAUACCGGAUAACAUUUUGAACCGCAUGGUUCGAAAUUGAAAGGCGGCUUCGGCUGUCACUUAUGGAUGGACCCGCGUCGCAUUAGCUAGUUGGUGAGGGAACGGCUCACCAAGGCCACGAUGCGUAGCCGACCUGAGAGGGUGAUCGGCCACACUGGGACUGAAACACGGCCCAAACUCCUACGGGAGGCAGCAGUAGGGAAUCUUCCGCAAUGGACGAAAGUCUGACGGAGCAACGCCGCGUGAGUGAUGAGGGCUUUCGGGUCGUAAAACUCUGUUGUUAGGGAACAACAAGUGCUAGUUGAAUAAGCUGGCACCUUGACGGUACCUAACCAGAAAGCCACGGCUAACUACGUGCCAGCAGCCG
rnacentral:rRNA from 1 species